rnacentral:rRNA from 1 species
CAAUAGCGUAUAUUAAAGCUGUUGCGGUUAAAAAGCUCGUAGUUGGAUUUCUGUCAAGGACAACUGGUCCGCCCUCCGGGUGAGCACAUAGUUUGGUCUUGACAUCUUGCUGGAAGCUGUUGCUGCACUUGGCUGUGUGGCGCAGUGUUCAGCACUUUCACUUUGAGGAAAUUGGAGUGUUUCAAGCAGGCACAUGCCUUUGGACACAGUAGCAUGGAAUAAUUAGAUUGGGCUUUUGCUCCAAUUUGUCGGUUUCUGGAGCUGAGGUGAGUAUUAAUGGGGAUUGUUGGGGGCAUCCGAAUUUAGCCGUCAGAGGUGAAAUUCUUGGAUCUGCUAAAGACGGACAACUGCGAAAGCAUUUGCCAAGGAUGUUUUCAUUG